GACCUGGUACGGUGGUCCGCCUUCACGGUGUGUACUGCUGGACCGGGUUCUACCUCUUGGUGAGCCGGCAUGCCCUUCACUGGGUGUGUCGGGGAACCAGGACUUUUACCUUGAAAAAAUUAGAGUGUUCAAAACAAGCUUAUGCUUGAAUACAUUAGCAUGGAAUAACGGAAUAGGACU
rnacentral:rRNA from 1 species